UCUCAGUCUGUAAGCCUCUAGAGGGAAGCACAUUCUGUUUUCUGAAAGAAAAGAAAGGGCUUCCAUUUAGAGGUUUACCGUUUGAGA
rfam:Callithrix jacchus chromosome 22, whole genome shotgun sequence